CUGGUUGGCUACGGACCCUCGUGCAGGCUGGGAGUGGAUGGUGUGGCUGCGGUUUCCUUGCCGGGUGGUCGGUCGUUGGUCCUCGACUAUGCAGCUACUUCGACAAGUGCUGCAGUGGCGGCGGUGUGAGGCUUCUUGGCAGUGCUGCCAAUCCCAUGGAGGUGUGGUGAUGGGCGAAGCGCGGAUGAAAAUUUUGCACGGCUUCUGCCGGGCCGGCGGUGAUGGCACCUGUGGAUGUCAUUCCCCUCCUUGGAGGCAUCGUCGAGCGUGUUCGCCUCAUCCCUCGCGCUCUUGGUGUUGGUGGAUGCCUCCGGGCGAAAGCCUAGAUUCGAUGUUCGGAUCGGCACGAUGGCAGUGUCCUUGACGCCGCUCCUCUGUUAGGAGCAUUGUGUUUGGAGACACGACUGGUUCCUCGUUGCUCUUCUCCGGUGUUCGCCGCUAUCCUUUUCUGACUUCAGUGGCGCUAUGUACGUUGGUCGUCGGUGAAUCCAAGGCGGUGUCUUCCCGGAUUGGAUCGAGUCCUGCCAUUCAUUUGCCACUUCUCUUAAGCGCUCAGGGUGGAUGGUGCGUCGACAAGAGAAGUUCUACGGAAGUGUGGUCUUCGGAGGUGUCCGGCGUCGGUCGAGACGUGGUGCUGUAUAUCAUUUUAGGAUAGGCUUUUUGCAUUGUAGCUUGCCUAGCGGUGGUGUUUGUUUGUGGUCUUGCCCAUGUGGUGUUCGUGCUACACUCCUUGUUUGCAUCGAGCGGGUAGCUUUCUUGUAACUAAAUUCCGCCUUCUAUAAAGAUAUGGUACACUUAGGCGUACUCUCGAAAAAAAAAGAAUUAAGGGCGUGGCCUAUUCUCGGAAAGAAAAACGAUCCGUGCUUCCAUGAGAAUCACUGUGCAAUCACAUAUUUGUUUCCGCGAGAAACUCAUAUAUUUGCUUCCAUGAGCCGUGCUUAUUGGGAAAAAACCGUGCUUCCAUGAGAAGCACAUAUUUUUCUUUCGCGAUGUGCUUCCCGAAAAGGGAAAAAGUUCCAUGCUUCCACGAAAAGCCCAGACUUGCAUCCGCGAGUGCUUCUGGGGAACAAAACUUUGAUUCUCGAAAAGGGGGGAAAAGGUGAAAAACCACAACCAUGCUUCCAGGCUCCUGUUUUUUCCUUACAUUUUUUGUUAUUCGUUUUUUGGUUACCUUUGGGGGUUUUAUCGGUAUUUUUUACUUAGUUUUAUUUCUAGAUUUUUCGUGAUUUUUUCUGUCGAAACAUAUCAACAUGGGAUCAAGUUUCGAAGAUCUCAACGCGAGAAAUCCAGUGAUAAAGACAGUUCAGGAUCACGGUUUAAGAGAUAAACCAUUUUAAAUAAAAAUAUCUAUGAAAAAAUAGAAAACUCUUCGAUUGCGGCAAGUGGCGCACACGAGUAACCUUUUCAGUGAGGUGCCCUUUAACUAGUAGUUUCGAUUUAACAGUCGUUGACAUCAAAUAGUCGAGGAUACGUGUGAAGCGAGGCACAAUUGGCCAGCACAACAGUGUUGUGUAACGAGGCCCAUCGGCUUGCUGGAAGUUUGACUUUCUAUGAUGUUUGUUGCCGCAUGUGGCUGACAAAUCCGCCUGAGGGCAUUUCAUCCCAGUUAUUAUUGAAUUAAAACAUUUUUUCCUCUACCCCACAAAAAAUAUAUUUUUUCCUCUAGUUUUGUUUUGUUUCUUUUUUGGUUUUCUUUCUCUUUUUAAUUUUUUUUCUUUUCACUUUAAAUUGUCAGUUGGUUUAGCUUUUCUUCUUCUUCCGGGUUGAUUUUUAUUCUGCUUUUUUCCUUUCCAUUUUUGUAGUUUUGAUGCAAUUUUUUUUCUAAUAUAUGGUGAACAUUUUUCUCAAAUUGCAUUGAGUUGCAUACACAGUGAUUCUUUUUAAAUAUGCAGUGACCUUUUAUAUUAUACAACAAAAAUUUUUAAAUACACACUAAAAAAUUUAAACACGUAUGGAAUAUUUUGGUUAUUUUUUAUUUCUCAAUAGGUUUUAAAUAUUUAGCUUUGUAAAAAAUUCCAACAACCGUAUUUGAAAGAAAAAGAAUAAAUAAAACAAUCAAGCCAGCUCGCUACAGUGGGCCAGCCUGUGACGACCCGUGUCAUUAUUAGUAUAGAUAAUGACACUGGUCCUUGGAUUAUUUCUUGACAAAAUCUUGUUUUGUCAAAUAAUUAUCCAUGUCAGAGAUACGCAACAGGGAAUAGCCAAAGAUGGUCAUUUAUAUUACAAUACCAUGCCACGAAGGGCUAAAAGUCUCAGGUAGGCUUCUCACAUGUUCACCAAAUUAUUACAUCUCCUAACAUUGGAGCUUCAACUAGCAGUACUACAUAGAUGGUGAUAGAAUGGUUCCUGGAUUACAUAGCUAGAUCAUCAGUUAUUCAUCCCAACCCCCAUAUGUAGCAUCCAGAUCGUACAUAGCACUAGAUGGAUCCACAUCUAUGUCCCCUCUGUAGUUGUAUCCAUCACCAUUGCUCUCCUCACUUGGUCCAGUAGGAUUCUCAUACAAGCUUUGCUCUAAGAAAGAGAUGAUUAAUAGCAAGAGUGAGUACAAAGUACUCAGCAAGCUCAAAUAGAAGAAUGCAGCACUCAUGAUAGCUCAAUAUAAAUCAACAAGUCCUACCUCAACUCAACUCCUGUAAAAUAAACAAAUAAGUAAACAUUUGUUGCAGAAAGUCCAUUUCAAUUUAUAAAAAAGCUAUCAAACACUCGUAUUGCGAGAUAGACCACCAAUAGGUCCCCGUAAUCCCCAAUCCAGGAGACUGGCACGAAUUCAUGUUUUCCUUUAACUCUGCAGAGCUUGUAUCACUUUACCCAUAGAGCUCGAAACCAUAAUUGCCAUAUGCAUUUCCUUAGAUGCGAGACAUGGUUCAGGACAUAAAGUUUUUUCCCAUUAUGUAUAAUAUAUCUCCACCCGGCUAGUGGUCACUAGCCGUUGUGUCGGGUUUCGGAACCCGCACUCCACCAACGCUUACACUACAAGAAAUAUGUCAACUUAUGACCUUCUGUCAGUGACCCUCAAAGAAUUGGUCACAAAUUUAUGACCAUUUUAGACCAAUUGGUCAAAAACUGUUCAGGGGGCUUCAAACCCUAAACCAUUGCGACCAUUUUGGUCAGAAAGGUCGUAAUUUCCUUACACAAAAUGGUCACAAAGCAAACAGUGCUAGUCCGCUGCCUUAUUUCUAGUUGUUAAUGACCAAUAUAGAUGGUCAUAACCUUGUAGAUUGUGGUGGGUUGUGAUGACUAGGCGCCAUCUCAUCAGUUUUGCCUAUGUGUCAUGUCCAUGUGGCAGUUUUUGCCCUAUGUUGUGAAGCAACCUAUAUUUCUAUCAUUCCCAAAAUUCCCAAAAAAAUCUCAUAAAUUCUUUGGGUCAUAUCUUCAUCAAAUAUGUAAAAAUCCUUCCUUGCCUAGUUCAAAACUAAUUCAACAAUAUUCAUUUUCCUAUUAUGUUCACAACAACACUUUAUGAAGGAAGUGCUAUUUAUAUAUUCUUGAUUGCCCUACGAAUUUUUGGGCACUCUUUCCUAUCCAAAUCAUUACCGCAUAACAAAAUUCAGCUCCAUUUGCCUAGCAAAUCUUCCUCGGCAAAUUUCCAAAGUUUUUGUCCACCUAGAAGCAUUGUGAAGGAAGUACCUUUUUUAUAUCUCUAAAUGACAUGAAAUUUAUACAGUUUCUUCAUAUGCCCAAAUUAUCACCCUCCUCCAAAUUGCAGCUCAGUCAAAUCAUCGAUGUGAGCCCAGGUUCAAUUUAUAUUUUAUGGCCAAAUUGGCAUGUUGCAAAGCAAGUGUUAUAUAGACCCCUCCUAUUACCCUCAAACUUUUCGGGCACUCUUCCAUACCCAAAUCAUUACCACAUGAUAAUAUUCAGCUCAAUUUUCCUAGUAAAUCUUUCUCGGGAAAUUUCCAAAGUUUCUACCUCGAGAGAAGCUUUGUGAAGUGAGUACUAGCUAGGCUUACCCAAAUGAUCUGAAAAUUGACCAGCGCAUGACCAUACCUAAGUAACUUACCUACACCAAUUUUGAGCUCAUUUCAUUCAUCCAAUCUCUCUCACUAGUUUUCCCAAGUUUCUAUCCAUAGAAGAACAUUGUGAAGGAAGUACUACUUUGGCAUGUCCAAAUGGUAUCAAUUUUCUACAAUGCUUUCCUAUGCCCAAAUAACCAUCCUCCACAAAAUUUCAGCUCAAUCCAUUCAUUAUUUUGAGCCCAGCUUCAACAUUCAUAUUUUUGUCCAGCGUGGUACUUUGCAAAGCAAGUACCACCUAGGAUCCUCCUUUUGAGCUAAAAAUUUGUGAAGACAUUCUCCUUAGUAGAUGAUCAUCCUCAGCCAAAACUCACGCCCAUUGGCCAUGUGCAUUUCCCGUACCGCUAAUCAAACACUUGGCUGCUAGUUCAUGUUUGAGCAUCGAUCGGUCUUCUCGUGAGUAUCUUAUGUUGUAAUUUUCUUCCUAGCACCAACCUGGGGAGUGCCUAACCCACUAGACAUGCCUAAGCCGCCCAGAACACAUGGCAACAUUACGGUCACGCGGUGACCAUGCGACGGGCAUGCGAGUUUACGCGCUCUAGAGUUGAGGCCCUCGGCCACCACCCAAACCUCGACGUAUCGUCACCAAACCAUAUAUUUAUGAUUAAAUAGGUCCUUAUGUAACUAGAAAUGAUUUUUGGAAAAAAUAAAUAGCAAACUAUGAGGCAGCUGCAGUUCAAAUUUGACCCGCUUCCAACUGAAUCGGCGGAAAUUUGUCUUUUUCACGAGAGGUGGAUCAAAAAAUUUUACACCCAACAUUUUUGUCAAUUGUGCAUUAAAUAUGUCCUAGUAUUUUAUAAAAAUGAUUCGGUCCAAUUUUGCAACAAUUAUUUGGUAGUUCCUUCACAAAAAAACCUCCUUUCGGGCACUCGAAAAAUGGAAAAUGGUUUUUUCGUCCAACGAAAAUGAAAACUUCCUUAGGCAACAUUGUUUUCCAUUCCAAUAUGCACCCUUUUGCACAAUAUGAGAUCAUUUGAACAAACUAUGUCAUGAAUGUGGCCAUAAGAUUGAUCAUUUGGCUUGAAAGCCAUUGAUCUCCACACAUGAUAGCUCGUUUCUGAGAACACUUUUUAAAAAUAAUUGCCGUAUUACAAGUCUGUUAUUUUUCCUAGUAACUUGGCCACAUAUGAUGACACAACGCGAAGUUUUCCCAAUUUUUUGAUUUUUUUGAAUUUUUUAUACCCGUUUCAAAAUGCGGUCAAAACGGCGGGAAUGACCGUUCCUAGCUAGUGGUUGAAUCUUGGAAUUUUUUUGGUGUUUCUCUGAUUAAAUAGAUACUUAUGUAGCUAGAAAUGUUUUUUGAAAAAAUAAAUAGCAAACUAUGAGGCAGCUGCAGUUCAAAUUUGACCCGCUUCCAACUAAAUCGACGGAAAUUUGCCUUUUUCACGAGAGGUGGAUCAAAAAAUUUUACACCCAACCAUUUUGUCAAUUGUGCAUUAAAUAUGGCCUAGUAUUUUAUAAAAAUUAUUCGGUCCAAUUUUGCAACAAUUAUUUGGUAGGUCCUUCACAAAAAAACCUCCUUUCGGGCACUCGAAAAAUGGAAAAUGGUUUUUUCGUCCAACGAAAAUGAAAACUUCCUUAGGCAACAUUGUUUGCCAUUCCAAUAUGCACCCUUGUGCACAAUAUGAGAUCAUUUGAACAAACUAUGCCAUGAAUGUGGCCAUAAGAUUGAUCAUUUGGCUUGAAAGCCAUUGAUCUCCACACAUGAUAGCUCGUUUCUGAGAACACUUUUUUAAAAUAAUUGCCGUAUUACAAGUUUGUUAUUUUUCCUAGGAACUUGGCCACAUAUGAUGACACAAUGCGAAGGUUUCCCAAUUUUUUGAUUUUUUCGAAUUUUUUAUACCCGUUUCAAAAUGCGGUCAAAACGGCGGGAAUGACCGCUCCUAGCUAGUGGUUGAAUCUUGGAAUUUUUUUGGUGUUUCUCUGAUUAAAUAGAUACUUAUGUACCUAGAAAUGUUUUUUGAAAAAAUAAAUAGCAAACUAUGAGGCAGCUGCAGUUCAAAUUUGACCCGCUUCCAGCUGAAUCGACGGAAAUUUGCCUUUUUCACGAGAGGUGGAUCAAAAUUUUUACACCCAACCAUUUUAUCAAUUGUGCAUUAAAUAUGGCCUAAUAUUUUAUAAAAAUGAUUCGGUCCAAUUUUGCAACAAUUAUUUGGUAGUUCCUUCACAAAAAAACGUCCUUUCGGGCACUCGAAAAAUGGAAAAUGGUUUUUUCGUCCAACGAAAAUGAAAAGUUCCUUAGGCAACAUUGUUUGCCAUUCCAAUAUGCACCCUUGUGCACAAUAUGAGAUCAUUUGAACAAACUAUGCCAUGAAUGUGGCCACAAGAUUGAUCAUUUGGCUUGAAAGCCAUUGAUCUCCACACAUGAUAGCUCGUUUCUGAGAACACUUUUUAAAAAUAAUUUCCGUAUUACAAGUUUGUUAUUUUUCCUAGGAACCUGGCCACAUAUGAUGACACAAUGCGAAGGUUUCCCAAUUUUUUGAUUUUUUUUGAAUUUUUUAUGCCCGUUUCAAAAUACGGUCAAAACGGCGGGCUUGACCGUUCCUAGCUAGUGGUUGAAUCUUGGAAAACUUUUGGUGUUUCUAUGAUUAAAUAGAUACUUAUGUACCUAGAAAUGAUUUUUUGUAAAAAAUAAAUAGCAAACUAUGAGGCAGCUGCAGUUCAAAUUUGACCCGCUUCCAGCUGAAUCGGCGGAAAUUUGUUUUUUUCACGAGAGGUGGAUCAAAACUUUUUACACUCAACCAUUUUGUCAAUUGUGCAUUAAAUAUGGCCUAGUAUUUUAUAAAAAUAAUUCGGUCCAAUUUUGCAACAAAUAUAUGGUAGGUCCUUCACAAAAAAACUCAUUUCGGGCACUCGGAAAAUGGAAAUUGAAUUUUCUGUGCAUAGAAAAUGAAAACUCCCUUUGUCAAUGUUGCUUGCCAAUCUAAGAUGUAAACUUGUGCAAAAUAUGACAUCAUUUAAACAACUAUUUUAUAUGUCUUUCACCAAAAAACUCAUUUUGAGCAUUGAAAAAUGGAAUGAAAAAUUUGUAUGUAAUCAAUCAUGACCAAUUUAUAUGGUCAAAAGAUCUUCAAAUUAUUUGGUGCGCUCUGAUUGGUCCAUAGGUAUAUCACGCGGAUCAUGCGUCAACCACCGUUGGAUGCUUCUGGAUCCAACAACAGCCCUCGCCCCCUUACCCUCUCACCCAAACCCUAACUUCUGGAUCCCCACCUCUCCCCUGAUCCACUCUCCCCUCUCGUCCCACAGCCGCCACCCCCCAACCCUCUCGCUCCUUCUCAAUCUCUCGAUCCCCAACCACCCAGCCGCCGCCGCCACCAUCCUCCUUCCUCUCCCCCAACCCCGGCCGCCGUUAACCCCUCACCUUCCCUUCUCUCCCACGGCUGCGGUCGGAUCCGUGCUCCCCCCUCGCUCGUGACCUAGACCUAGCCGCAUGGCACGGCCAUGGCCAUGGCGGCGGCCAGAUCCACCCCCUCCCCUGCUCCAUUCCCUUGACACCCGGUGGUCAUCCCCCAUUAGGCCACCCGCAGCAGCUCACCCGCCCCUCCUCCUCCUCCCCGACGCCGAUGCGCUCGUUCCCCGCCUUCCCCCGCCUGAACCGCCUCCUCCUCCCUGCCGAUCCUUCGCUUCCCCGUGGCCCUAGGCCAGCAUCGACGGUGCUCCCUCCCAGACCCGGCAGCGCCAUCGUCGAGGUCAAGGGCAUCUUUGACCCGGUCCUUGACGGAGGGCAGGCUCGAGCGUCGGGAGAUGACCUACGCGUGCUUCUACGCGGCCCAGAUCGAGCAAGGCAGUGGUACGCAUCCCUGCUCCUCCCCUUCUCUUCUCCUGCAUCUCGCCCCUCCCCCCUCCCUAAAUCUGAUGCAUGCGCCCAUUUUCUUGCAUGUUCGUGAAGAGACCCGAUCUGGUUUUGUGAAGGAAGGGGCCGGCCAUGGAGAAGAUCCCACGGGCAUCAGAUCAUCCAUGGCGGCCUAGGAGGAGCACCACUGGUUCAGUUUCUUCACUUGCUCCACCGGUUCAGGUGAGUCCCUCCACUUAUCCUCAUUUGGAUAAUCCCAAAUCUCCGCUCUCUUACUCACCUCGUCCGUUCUCCCUCCCAGAUCCGUCAUCACUUGAGCACCAGGAUGUCGGGUUGACUACUAUCGACGCCAACGGCCGCCAACGGCCUCGUCAUCAAUGACCACACCAACUGGCGUUGCCUCUCCCAUUCCAUGCCUGUUUAGUAGCUCUGCGUGGUCAUGUUUACAGUUGCAUGCAUAUGUUAACUGGUAUUAGAUAAAUUUUAAGAGACAAUGUCAUUUGGUACUCAAGGUUACCUAAAAUUACUCUGCCAUUGUUAACUGAAUGAACAUAAACAAUACUACAUGAGUUCCACUGGUUAGCUAGCUGUUACACAACUCUGCUCUAUGUCAUGAAUUUGGAUGAAGAAAAUUUGGUUGCUGGCCUAAAAAUUAACUGGUCUGUAAUUUGGUUGCUGCCUAAAGACGUUAAGAUUGCUGUGUGGUGGGGGGUUUCGUGUGCUUUUUCUGUUUUGAGGCGAAUGGUGAUGUAGUUAAAAUGUUGGGAUUCUUAAGGCAGGCCUCCAGUUCUGCGUACAUUUGUGCUUGAGUUGGAACCAACACUUGCUCAUAAUAUAAACACAACUGUGUGCACAGUUUAGCUAAUUAUACUAAGGGUGAUUAAGAGUGCACUGCACUGGAAUGGAUUAUUGGCUGUGAUACUUUUUUUGUAUUAAUCUACAAACACGUGUACAGUGCAUUAUUGCUAGUUUGCUUAGAUAUGUUCUGUUCUCAUCUUGGAUGAGCAGUGUUUUCUGGGCCAAUAUAUGUACCAGUUUAUGUACUUCUGCACUUGAAACAUCAACAUGUAUUUUUCCUUGUUUUCUGGAAUAAUUGGUAAACUUCAUAUUAUGCUAGGUUUGAUUUGAUGCGGAUGCGAAUUUGGAUCUCCAUCGCUGUAGGUUUCCUGUUCGUAUAAGGGUGGGCUCAUCGAGGUGUGCGGUGGUAGGCUCGCUCGGCCCCAGCGUCUUCUAUUGAACGGACAUGCCACCUCUUUGGCGUCGGCUACAUGAGAGCCAUGGUGAGCUCUCUUCUCGAUCUAUGGUGAGCCAAUACUUAAAAUUUCAACAACUAGUAUACAUCUAUGGUGAGCCAGUUAGUAAUCGUGGCUGAGUCAUCGAUACUCACCUAGCAGCCACUUGUUGGCCACUUGAUUCAGAGUUUCAGACCAUAUAGCCACGCUUUAGAAGGCUGUAUUUGGUAAUCACCCAAAAUGCCUCUCUUUUUUUAGCUGAUGAAUCGUCCUACAUGCACAUUUUGCUUGAUGUCCGUGUUUAUCCAGAUUCCAGAAUGUUUGAUUGCAACAUUCUAUUGAAGAUAGAAGUAUAGGACCAGUGUACAUGAUCUGGAACCUUUUGGUUUUGAUCAGUUGCUGCUGCUGAUUUAAUGCCUAUGCUCACACUGUUGUUGAUUAAAUGCUUAUGUUGUUGCUGCAUGCUUAUGCUACUGAUUCAAUGCUUAGGAAUUGAUUGAAUUGAACCUGUUGUAAUCCUUCCUGAUGCAGUGUCCAAGAUAUUCAGUUAACUAUGUAGAUCAUGUACUGUAUUGUUAAUCACCAGUUAUUGUUUCCUUUCACUGUGUCAUCGUGCCGGUUACUACUACUGUUCCUACAUAAUCACAAGCGUGGAUGGAUGAUUAUCUCAGAUCAGAUGUUGCUAGAUUACUUUCUUAGAUUUCUUUUGUCACCAAGCCACACAGAUCAUCUAGUUAGAUAGAAUCCGCUACGCUAGGGUGAUGAAUGAACGAACAAACAAUAAUAGGAACAUGGGCACCAGGUUUUAGACGGCUUGUGACUUUGUGGUUGCAUCAAGCCCGCCUUGUACGCCCGACGAGUUUAUCCUGUGUAUUUUGUCUUGCUAGACGAGUUAUCCAGCAAUACUAGUGCAUAGUAGAAAAUUAUCAUAGAUCCUGGCUGUAACCUGCUUUUGUGCUUGUAACUUUGGCCCACAUGAUUUUGUGGGGAUUUGGUACCAGACUAGAGGUAGAGGCUUGACAAUUUCUUGUUGUUUCAGUCAAGUGCUUGAUAGAUAGCUGUCUCAUAUGCAUUUUCCAUUCCUAAUGGUGCUUUUUAAUUUCCUUGCCAGGUCAAAUAAAAGAUGUUGUUCUCGGUGGAGUUGCACUUGAGGAUGAGCACAGAGAGAAAUUUAAUCAAAUCCAAAAGGUAGGUUCUUUGUUCUAAUCAGAUGUUGGCAGAUUCUAUUUUGUUGUGCAUAUGCCAAGUGUGUCUACCUAAUUGUAAACAUAAUUGCAAUAAUGUAUAUAUGUUGACAGUCUAGUAAAAACAAACUUGUUGUGCCUGGGUUUGUGGAUCUUAAAAAAAUCAUCUAUGCUUUCCUUACUCAUACAAAACGCCCAACUGUUGUUCUUGUUAAUACAAGCGUGCAUACCAUCUGCACCUUCACCAAACAGAAAAGGCUCUAGCCACAUAUUCCUCUUUACUGAAAACUCAUUGUUCUUUUCUAAACUAUUGCAAAAAUCGAGCAGUGGUACUGAUUAUAUAAAUUUUUUAUUGUCUUGGUAGCUUCACUCGUGUUUGCCACUGAUUGGUUUCUGCUUAACCCAUGUGUAGAGAGAGUACUAAACAGCAUGAUUUCAAUCACCUUGUAUACACUAGCAGCUUGCUUACACAGUUGUCACUUUUGCUUGUGGUAGCCAUUAUGUGGUUGAAUCAUGUUUGUGUCUACUAAUCAUCAGUUAAUAGUAUUUGGCUUCUUGUGAUGGUCUGGGACUAUUUUAGGGUGAUGAGGAUAUGCUUUCUGAUUUAUAGUUACUAAUCUGUGGUCUGGUGUCAUAUUAUGGUCUAAUAUUUUUUGUUUUGACUCUUUUUCUGGUGCGAGGAAAGCUGUGAGUAGACGUCAACGAUGCCUACUUGUUUGGCUGCUACAGUGAUGCAUGCGCCGGUCAAGCAAGCACACAUGCAUAUACGUUCCUACUAUAUUCCUGCUAUAUACAUACAUGUGUAAAUGUAUUUAUGAGAGAUGUGUUAUGUAAACCUGCGAGAUGUGUUAUGUGAUGUGAUAUGAUGGAUGAUUUGAAUUCGACAUGGAGUUUUCCUGAUUUGAAUAUGAAACAACUUUGUCCAAACAUUUCUUUCAAAAUCUGAGAUCUAAUAUUGGACAAAUAAUUGGGCUGGAAAAGGCAACAACUGAACAAGCAUUGGACUGUUUAAAAAGCGAAACAAAAAAACCUUAGAAAAUAAAAAAAAGAAAUAUACUGCAAAAAAGGCCGAGGCCCCCUAGUAUGGAAAAACCUAACAAAAAGGCCGAAUUGUAGGGUAUGGCCCAUGCUGAAAUUAAUAGGAAAAAAUACAUUAAAAAGGCCAAAUUGUUGGGCUCGGCCCAUGUAGAAAAUCGAAUUGGACCGGGCUGAAUCUUGUGCCACGUCAGAUUGCCACGCUGGAUGCCUACGUGGCCUGGGGAGGUUGCUAGUGACCAAAACGCCACAGUAGACGUAUUUUGGUCAUAAACGUUUGCGACCAUUCCAGAAAAAAGGUCGCUAUAGUCAGUUUACGAUGCCCAGCUUUUGACCUUAUGUUUUUGGUCACAAAAAGGUCAUAAAUGGAAAUUUGUGACCUUUCAGUGACCAAUAGUGGUGGUCAUAAGUUGACAUAUUUCUUGUAGUGUUAAUAUAUAGCGUUUGCUAAUGCACCCAUCCGACAUUAGCGUGGGAACUCAUCGCCCAUCCUACUACUACUUACCCAUGUGGAGAGUAUAAUAACUUGAUGGGUAAUGGGCUCAACCCGUCUUAGACGAGACCAUGGUUGAUACGGUUGUAGUACGGCGCAUAAAACGAGUGAAAGUUAUUUAAUCCUAAUAUCAUAGCCAUAUGUAGAGGGCCCCACCUCCCAGCAUGUCCAUCCAGGGCACCCUUUACCCACCAAAUAAUUAUAAAUAAAUAAAUAAAUCAAUGGAUUAGCUGCUCCAUCAGCUAACCCAACUCUUUGUCAACAGUCACUCCACACAAUUUAUUACCAAAACAUUUAUGCAAGUUGAUGAUAAGAUAGAAGAGAAUAGUCUUUUUUCUUCAGAGAAAGUUCUACUCAGCAUGAUUAAGGAGAGCUUGCCUGAGUUCUUGUACUCAGACCCGAACUCAAAUUGCUUCCGUGGCGCUUCCUUCUCCGGGUCUCGUUCGCUUCCUGCGAUUCGGAAAAAAUAUAUAUACCGAUACUAAGUCGAGUGAAUAACUAAAAUAAAAAUACGCCGGUGCAGUGUGGUUAUCCUACGAUCACCAAAGUUUUAAGCUUGUAAAAUCUUUAUACAAGAUAUGUUAUAUUUACCAGUGUAGUGUGUAACUAGCAUUAUUCACAUGUCAUCUACGUAAUUAACUAAUUAGUACUAGUAGCCUGGGAGUGUACGUGACAUUUCAACUUAGGCUAAGGGCGUGUUCGGCAACUCCGCAGCUUCCAGCUUCCGAGAAAUCUGCCGUGGAGCAGCACCGAACGAUUUUGCUCGAGCCAAAUCACAGUGCAAAUUCCAAGGAGUUGAGGAAGCUGCCUUUUCCUGGCUCUACAAAAACGUAGAAGCUGGAGUUGAGUGUUAUUAUGAGGUGCUGCCACCGCUAAGUGACCUUUGCGUAUCGGUUCGAUUGGUCUGUCCCCCGAACAGCCCAUGUCUUCCCUCCGUACCCCUCCAUCACGGCCGCUGUACAUUUUUUAAGGAGAAAAAUAGGAGCUGCUGCAUGCCUACCGAGCUGGACUUUGGUUGUCAGUCCAUGCUAGCGAUGAGAAGCUACCAGGCGUGGCGAACGCGUCCGGAAUCGCCAGGUGAAGUGAGAAGCUAGCUUUAGAAGCUGGAUUUGUGAAGUUUUAAGAAGCUAGAUAGAUUCAGAACACGCCCUAAGUGGUUCUUUCUCUCUCCUAGUACUAUUACCCAUUCUGAACCGAACCAACACACACUAGUACUAGUCCAGCCAGAACACAAGUAGUACACGCAUGCCCUCCUCUGUUUCUUCUACUCCUUGCCCAGACCGAGCACGCCGCCAGCGACGGGAAAGAUGCUGCUCCGCCGCUGCCAGAUCCUCCAAUCUCUCUCUCUCUCUAUGAUGUAAAUCCCCAUAUUAUCCCCAUGAAUUUCAACCUCAACUCUCUAAUCCCCUUGUGUGUAUGUUCUGUUUGGCUUGUAGGUCAAACCCUAUUGGGGAUGCUUCCCCUGCUCCAGAUUGGAGUGGUCGGCUUUGGUGGCCGCGGUGCCGUUGGGUGGUGCAGGUCAAGUGUGCGGCCAUGGAGUAGAUCGAGCAUAUGUGCAGGUUAGUGAUGCCUUGUUCCUAUCCCUAAUAUUUUUUUAUGGUUAAAGUUCUCAGAUUUAGUAAAUUAAUUUAGUCUCAUGUGCAUGUGUGUGUACUGAACUAAUUCCUCUUGUGCAAGAUGUUGGUGUACUAAUGAUGCACAUUAUCUUGCUCCAUUUUAUUUUACUUGAUUAAGGUAUUAUCCAUGCUUUCUUGUACUGUUGAUUUUAAGAUCUGUGAUAUGAUACUACUGGGAUGAUUUAGCUUUUGUGUGCAUCUGUGAAGAAGUAGUGAGGAAUAUUGGGGGUGCAUCUGGGUUGGGCUUCUUUGUGAGUGUGAGUGCUGAAGGAAUGACAGAAGAAGAAGAACUCACCUUUCUUCUUUUGCCUUCUCCGCUGUUCCUACUAGUGCUGCUCCUACUUCCAGAUCCCAGUCCAGUAGGCUAACUUCUUGCUCCAGCCUUCCUCCUUCGAUCUACUAUGAUUUCUCAGGUCACCAUCUCUACUUAUUGUUCUUGGAUCUUUGCGGGUUGCAGAUAGAAAGAUGAAGACAGUGGGAGGAAGACAAGCUGCUGGUCUGGCUAUUUGGGAAGAAUGGAGACGUGUGAAGUCUUGGGAGUGGCUUGCUCUGCUCUUUCCCCUCUUAAUAUCAAAAAUCCAUCUCCCUUGGCUGGUAUGGCUGCCCAUUCCUUCUGUUGCCUUUGUGGAGCCUUUCUAUUGGCUAGGAGUUGCAGCCCAUGCCUAGACCAACUGUUGGUCAAUUGACUAUAUAUAGUAGCACUAUUCUGAUCCUCGGAUCAGAAUAGUUAUUUGGAUCACGGUCGACCCUAUAUAGGCGUGUGGAGGUCUUCCCGAACUCCUGAUCCGGUAGGAAAAGAAGAAAACAACUUACUGGCAUCCUCGACCUCCCACCCCGCGCCGCCCCACCCAUCGAACGCGCCCCCACCACAGGCUCAGCCCGCACCGACGCCCCUGCGACUCCGGGCGCUGCCGCCCCUGCAACCCCGGGCGCCGCCGCACUCGGCAACCUCGCGAGUCGCCGUCCCCUGCAAUCUCGGGCGCCGNNNNNNNNNNNNNNNNNNNNNNNNNNNNNNNNNNNNNNNNNNNNNNNNNNNNNNNNNNNNNNNNNNNNNNNNNNNNNNNNNNNNNNNNNNNNNNNNNNNNNNNNNNNNNNNNNNNNNNNNNNNNNNNNNNNNNNNNNNNNNNNNNNNNNNNNNNNNNNNNNNNNNNNNNNNNNNNNNNNNNNNNNNNNNNNNNNNNNNNNNNNNNNNNNNNNNNNNNNNNNNNNNNNNNNNNNNNNNNNNNNNNNNNNNNNNNNNNNNNNNNNNNNNNNNNNNNNNNNNNNNNNNNNNNNNNNNNNNNNNNNNNNNNNNNNNNNNNNNNNNNNNNNNNNNNNNNNNNNNNNNNNNNNNNNNNNNNNNNNNNNNNNNNNNNNNNNNNNNNNNNNNNNNNNNNNNNNNNNNNNNNNNNNNNNNNNNNNNNNNNNNNNNNNNNNNNNNNNNNNNNCCUCCCGCCGCCACCCCCCAUCCCCAACACCUCCUCUCUGGCCCGCCUCCCGCCGCCUCCUCUCCUUCUUCUCGGAUGCAGCAACAUCCCUGCCAAUACACACCGCUUCCCAAAUCCUCCUGACGACCGAGGCCCGGCCAACCACCCUCCGUGGACUACCUGUGCUGGCACCGCCGCGAAUCCCCACCACAGCAUCGCCCCACCGCACAGCAGAUCCCAUGCAGGUCUGCCCCCAUGCUCCUGCAGGUCGACUGCGCCACCGCACGAAGUUCACCGACCAGAUGCUUUGGCUGGAUCUGUCACUGGUGCGUCGCCUCGGUUAAUCUCCACCGCCGCCCCUACAGCUCCCCAAUUUCGGCCGACCUCGGUGUCGUCGAGCUCCCUUCCCCAUCGGGCUAGGCCUCAUCAUCCCGCAUGCAGCCUCGCCGUGGCCAAGAGCAAUGCCAAGCCACUGAAUCCCCACGCGACGCUAACUCCAUCUUAGUCACAGCCGCGCGAGGCCCGGCUAGACAGCAGCCCACAUGGCGUUAGUGUUCGCACCAGGAACACGCAUGUUGCGGUUGUAGAAUCUUCCUAGGCUGAACUCCUCCGGCCGUUCAACUCUGCAUCUUCGCGUCAUUCAGUUUGAGGAGCUCGACGAGUAUGAUUUAUCAGAGGAGAAACCCCAGUCUCGCUUUAAUUCCAGUGAAUUUAGAUCAUUUUCUACUGCUUCUACUGAUGCGCUCCGCUCAACUCUUCCUUCUGCCGAAAGUGUAGCUGUGUGUGGAUUUCGUUUGGUGUCAUGGGAUCGAAUGGGGAAAGAUAAAGGACACGUGGGUGGUGAGGAGAUAGACUAGAAGAUGUGGUGUAGAAAAGAAAGAACGUGUGCACCAAUAAGUCUUGCUUUUUGCAUGUGUGAUUACGUGUUGUUCUUUCUGUAGUUCUUAUCCGCACAGGGGAUGCUCGGCCAAGGGAGAAACCGAGCGGCGCCUGAGCUCCAGCUCCAUGGCCAUGCUCUGCCACUGCAAUCACUGUUUUGGUUGACCUUCUCGGGAGGUCUCCUCGACCUUCGUCAAUGACAGAAAUCGUCAAGGACUGAGAUUCACAAGCCUGGGAUUAUUUUUUCAUUGCCUUGUUUGACCCGCUUGACUACCAACUAUGGAUUUUAGCAAGCAAAAAAUGGAUGUUGUGAGAGAGGCUCAUGGUGUAUUUACAUGAGCAAAUACACACAAAAAAUAUUGUUUUGUGAAUUAAAAUAAUUCUUUCAAUCCAUUACAAAUUUGGAACAAAAAUGCUCUACACUAAAAAGUUUUUCCUAUUCAACAACUUUUCAAAGGUGUAUAAAUAUUUUUAUUCUAAAACAAAAUGGUGCAUGUUGUUUGAAACAAAAUCUUAACCAUUAUGUUUUAGAAAUUCAUGGUUUAGAUAUAAAUGCGAAGUUCACGUGGACCAUAUACUGAAGAAAUUCAUUAAUGAAAAAAGGACCGUCUUGGCCAUUUCAUUGACAACAAAAAAUUCCUAAAAAUGUCGUGACAAAAAAACAAAUAUUAGAAAAUGGAAAAAACUAUAAUUUUGUUUUGUAAAAAGUUAGAGCGGGUUGAUGUCUAUAAAAACUCAUAUUUUUUCAUUACUAAAGCGAAACAAAGAAAAGUCCAAAGAGAUAACUUCCGGAAGUUCACGUAGUACAUGGUGUGUGUUUCGUAUGAGAAAAAUACAAUAAUAACACAAAUUCUAAAAGUUUUGGUUCUAGAAGUUCAAGUGCUCGGCCCGGAAAACUUCAAAAAUUCUUCUAAAAGAGGUUCACCAUGUGUUUAGAUGUCCAAAAACAGAUACAAAAUAUGUUGUUUUGGGUGUUUUAAAAUAAUUCUCUCAAACCAGAGAGAAGUUCAAAGUGAUAAUAACCGGAAGUUCACGUGCUGCAUGAUGUGUGUUUCGUAUGGAAAAAAUACAAUUAAAAGGUAAAAAAAUGUUGCUAGAAGUUCAAGUGCUCGGCCCGAGAAAAAUCAUAAAUUCGUGAGAGAGAGGUUCACAAUGUAUUCAAAAACUUUCCAAAAUGUAUAUCUUAUGCUCUAUUCCAAAGGGUAUAUCACACGCUCUAUUCCGAAAAACGGUUAAAACAAAUUGGUGUAUGUUGUUCAGAAUUGAUAUUGCAGGAUGUCCGACCUUCAAUUACAUAUUUUAAAAAUGGCAAAAAAUGGCAUCCGACCUUCAAUUGCGUGUAAUUCGACGUACACACAAAAACGUGACAAAAGUUCAUAGUGAAAACAACGAGAAGUCCAAGUACUGCAAGGAAUGCAUUUUCAGUUGAGAAUAAAAUUAUAUAAAAAUAAAAGCUUAAAAGGUUUGUUAAAAGAAGUUCAAUUGCUCUGUGCGGGAAAGUUCAAAAAUUAUUGCAAGAGAGUUUCACCUUGUAUUUCCAUAUUCAAAAACACAUAAAAAUUAUUUUUUUUGUGUUUUAAAAUAAGUCUCUCAAUUCACAAAGAAGUUCAGUUAUUAUUUGGGAAGCAAUAUGAUUUCAAAAAGAAGAUAAAAAAAUCAAAUUACAAAAAUGGAAAAGGUUCAUGUACUACAUGGUGUGUGUUUAGUAUGAGAAAGAUAAAUUAAAAAGGCAAGGUGAACUUUUUUGUUGUUAUAAGUUCAAGUCCUCGGUCGGAGAAAGUUAAAAAAAUUAUUGUGAGAAGGGUUUGUACAAAAAGAAAAUCAUUUGUGUAACACUGACGAAUGAAUGAGAUAAUUACAAACGAAAAUAUGUCACAGAAGUUCAACGUGAAAACAACACGAAGUUCAACUACUACACUGAAUGAAUUUCAGAUGAAAAACUUUUAAAAUCAUCGCGAGUAUGAAAAAAUGAUGAACGGGAAAAUUGUGUGUUUACAACAGCUUUCCAUCGGUAUAUCACUUGCUCAAUUCCGGUAAGUGGUUGGGGAGUUACGGGUAAAAAACAACACAUGAAAAACAUAGUGAAGUUCAAAAAGAACUGCUCCAGAAGUUCAACCUCUUCACGAAGUGCAUUUUCGGAGACUCUGUUUUUCCGAUGAAGGCAGAACGCAUGAUCGCAGAAGUUCAGGUUGAUAAACCGCCAGAAGUUCACGUACUACACGGUGUGCAUUUUGUAUUAAAAAGAAUAAAAAUGCAAAGGCUAAAUUUGUUGUCAUUAUAAGUUCAAGUACCCCGUCGGAGAAAGUUACAAAAAUUAUUGUGAGAGAGGUUUGUACAACAAGAAUAUCAUUUGUGUAACACUGACGAAUGGAUGAAAAAAUUACAAAUAAAAUUACGUCACAGAAUUUCAACGUGAAAACAGCAGGAAGUUCAACUACUACGCUGAAUAAAUUUCAGAUGAAAAACUUUUAAAAUCAUCACGAGUAUGAAAAAACGAUCAACACGGGAAAGUUAUGUGCUUACAGCAGCUUUCCACUGGUAUAUCACUUGCUCAAUUCCGGUGAGUGGAUGGAGAGUUACGAGCAGUGGAUGGAGACCUACGAGCAAAAAAAUCACGUGAAAAACAGAGUGAAAUUCAGGUACACGCGCCAAGAAGUUCAAGUUCUUCCCGCGAUGCAUUUUCGAAAAAUCUGUUUCGCGAUAAAGGCAGAACGCAUGAUCCCGCCGUUUUCGAAAUUACUUCAAAACGGCUAGGAAUCAUAGAAAACCAUCAACAUGAAAUAGUUUCACAUUUUCCGUAGCUUUUCAGGGUAUAUUAUUUGCCCCAUUCCGAUAAAGUUUGUAGAAAUUACGGUGAAAAUACAUUUUUCGCCAUUUUCGAAACUGACUUAAAAGCGUAAAGAAUUGGGAGAAACAAUACAUACCAAAAAGUUUUGCAUUUGUUCAAGCUUUCCAACGCCAUAUCAUUUGCUGCAUUCGGACGCACGAUUAAAAAAUUAGCUCGAAAAUACGAACUCGGUAGGACUUGGACCAUUUUCUAAAUUACUCUUAAACCAUUCAAAAUUAGGAAAAAAAACUUUCAAAAUGAAAAAGUAGCGCAUUUCAUAAGCUUUCCAACACCGUAUCAUAUGCCUCCAUUGGAUUAGCUGUUUAGAAAUGACAUCGAAAAAACGAACUCAGCUGUUCGGUUUACGAAAUUUUACGUUUUUUUAAAUUACUCUUUAACCAUAGGGAUUUUAGAGAAAACUUUCAACAUGUGGAAGGAGCGGUUUUGCAGCAGUUUUCCAACGCCAUAUUAUAUGCCUCAUUCCGAUAAACGGUUUAGAAAUGCUAUCGAAAAUACAAUUCACAUUUUUUAUGCGAAGAAAAAACAGUUUUCAAAACUGCUCUUAAACCGCUUAUAUUUUGCUAAAAAUUUAAGUUGGGUCAUGAUAUUGGCGUCCAUAGCUUUCCAACGGUAUAUCGCAACCCCAUUUGGCAAUGUUGGCGGAAGUUCAACCUAGUUCACAGGGAAGUUCAACGUACUACUAGCGGGGCAGGUUAGGUUGUGAUCAGAAUAUUAUUCUGAUCCCGUGAUGAGAAUAGUGUAUUACAAAUGCAGAGAUGUGUAUAUAUAUAGGGCACGUGAUGGUGGUGGUCAAAUGUGUAUCUCCAAUGUGUCCUGCUGUCCUAGUUAACACAGAGAUGUUUGUGUUGGUCUAAGUUUGGUGUGGCAUUGUUGUAUAGAUUAGCAUAGUCUGGUCUCCCUACAUUUUCUUUUUCCAAAGAUUUGUAAUACACUUGUACAGCUGUACUGUUUGAGGUGUAUGAAUAUAAAUAUAUAUUUGAGUGGUUAUGCUUAUUGAAGAAAUCCGAGAUGUAUUUUCUUAAUAUAUAUUGUACGUAAUUAUCUAGUUAAGGGUAGAAUUACUAUGUGAAAAAUAUGGGUCGUUACACAGCCCAUAGCACCUCGCUUCAAGCAUAACAUCUGAUAUUUGACACCAACAUAUAUGUCGUCAAAUACUCAAAUAGGUGGUCUCUUAUUAUAGUUAUUAUGGAAUUCUCUAGUUGUUGCUCUAUGCCAUAAGUAGUCGCUAUAACACUCACAACACCGCUCGUUGGGUCGACCCAUGUGGCGUUUUGUUUUCCUCUGGUUUCUUCUCAGCUAUUGUUGUUUUCCCUGAGUUGGUUUUUGUAUGUUUGUUUUUAUUUCUUCCGUUGGUUUUCGGCCAGUUUUUCAUUUGAUUUUUUUAAAUUUUCAAUUUUUAAAUCCAUGAACAAUUUUAAAUGCAUGGGUAUUUAAAAAACAUGACAAUGUUUAGAAUGCCUGAACAUUUUGAAAAAAUCCAUGUUAUUUUCUAAUACGAACAUUGUUUUUCAGUUCUUGAACAUUCUUAAGCGUAUGAAUACUUUAAAAAUUAAUGAAAAUUUAUAUGAAUUUAUGAAUAUUUUAGAAUUUUGCAGAUUUUUUACAAAUUAUGAACAAAUUUUUAAUAUGGGACGUGUAUUUUAUUUUUAUUUUUUGCACUAUACAUAGUGAAAACAGAUGGUGAAUCAUGGACUGAACUGGAUAGGGAGCGCAUAUCGCAGGCCGACCCGACAUUUUGGGUCUAUUCUACUCCAGAUUGUUGUGAAUCGCACUAUAGCAUCCACCCAAUCGUCGGAACAGCUGCCCUGAUGCUAGAUGUCGUCACCGAACCGCUGGACCACCCUUUACUCAUUAGCGCCGGACGAUGUCGCUAGCUCCACGAAUCUUCUUGUGCGAUGACCGAUGCCCCCGCACUAGAAGAAAGUAUCAUUUUGCAACAUUAGUGAGCUUCCACAACAAUGCUUGCGACCAGCAUCGUCGUGCCUCUAGACACGUCGAUGUGGUUGAAGAUGUGCUCUUGUGUCCCUUGAUCUCCUCGUUGCGAUCACCCAGGGUCGUCGACCAGAUCCAUCUAGUCGAUUUUGAGCCGGCAGCGAGCGCAAUGGUCUAGCAUGACAAUCCAACCCUUUCGGGCAUCCCUGGUGAUGACGAGCUACAGCACGGGCUAGCGGUGAUGGUGCACAAUCCCUGCCACAUAUGUCACUGUUCAUGUCAUCGUGGCGAGAGACGGUACUCCCACAUAUCUGAUUGCUUCUCCCCCCACGAUGCAUAGUGUUGCCACGGCUGCGACAUGGCUUAUCACCGGCGGGCGCUGUCACACUAGUCGGAGCAACGACUGGUCGAAGAUGGGGCCUGGCACCACAACCGUGAUCCACGCCAGCUUGCCGCGGUUUUGGCCUACGUCACGAGAGACGCUCUCCCAAGGAUCUGACCUCCUCCGUUGCCACAACCAACAAGGGAUACGAGGUGAUGGAGACACACCCAAUGCGAGGAGGUGGAGACAUGCACCCCAACGAAUACCGUAGCGACGGUGACGCGUUCCUAGGUGGCACCUGACCCUAAGGGCAUCUCCAGCCGCGCCCCCAACAAACUCUCACCAGGCGAUUUUGCCGCGCCGGCGCCAAAAAAACGGUCCAGUCACGCCCCCAGAAGCCUGUUUUUCGCCAGUUCGGGCUAAAACUGGUGCCGGUGGACCCAAGCCGAACCUGGCGCCUUGGGGGCAUUUGGGGAGCCGGCACAAGCAAAAAAGGCGCGUGGGCCUGCCCUGGCGGCGACCCGAGGGCCUUUUCCCGCCGCUUCUUGACGCUUUUCCCUUGCAUCUCUUCCGCUCGCUCGCCUUCCUCCCACCAAACCCCCUCCAGCUUGCCUUCCAGUUGCCGCCAUGCCGCCGAAGAAGUACGCCAUGCCGCGCGCGGCGGCAACCACGACUGGCACCGUGGCCCAGCCGAAGCAGAGGAAGCCGAGGGCGCCGCCAUCGAAGCCACCGGGCAUGUCGAACGCCGAGUGGAGGGUGGAAGUUCAGCGACGCGAUGCAGUCACCACCGACCGGCGGAACAGGGCCAUUGCCAAGAAGGCCCGCGACAACGCGGCGCGUGCGGCGGCGUCUUCCUUAUCGGUCGACCAUGCGGGGAUGAUGAAUCCACCCGUCGUCAGCCACGCCCAGUACGCGCCCUGGGGACAGCAAGGCAUCGGAUCUCCAUGGGGAUCAUCGUCGCCCGGCUACACCGACGGCGACGCGCAUGGGGGGUUCAACCCAAACGUGACCUUUCCCCAUGGCCACCCCGCGACGCGCACACCCUCGCCCGCCUUCGUCGACGUGCAGUACCCUCCAUACAACUACUCGCCGCCCGCCGCCUACGCGUCCACACCGACGCCCCAUCUCCGCCGUGGACCGCUGCCCUUCUCGCACCUCGGCGACACGGAUGACACAGGAGCCGACAUGGACGACAUCAUCGCGACAGGAUCGACCGCGGCCGCCGCGUCUCCCAGGUUCGCCACCCAGGACGAGGCAGUGGAUCUCAGCGGCGACAUGGAGGCCGAGCUCGGCUACGUCUACAGCGAGGACACGCACGAAGCGCAGGAACCCGAGGAGGAGGAGGAGGACGAGCAGGAGGAGGAGGAGGAGGAGCCGGCUCCUGUUCCGAUGAAGGGGCGCCAGAAGAAGAAGAAGCGGGCGGCUAGGUCAGGCGAACCAUGCAUCAAGUGGACGUCCAAGAAGGAGGAAUGCCUCGCCGAAGCAUGGAAAGUCAUCUGCCUCGACCCGACCACCGGCGCGAACCAGAGCUUGGAGACGUACUGGGACCGCAUCAAGGCCGAGUUCGAUGAGCGGAAGCUCGUCGACCCGUACUUCAAAGGCGUCUACAUGCAGCGCGGCUCCAAGGCGAUGGCGAACCAUUGGGGGCGUAUCCAGUUGGCGUGCAACAAAUGGCAUGGAAUCGUCGAGGAGGUCGCGGCUCGCCCGGAGAGCGGCGCCAGCGUUGAGGAUCAGGUACGCACGCCGUUCGCCCGCAUCUCUUCGUCGUCAAUGUUGGAAAUAUGCCCUAGAGGCAAUAAUAAAUUGAUUAUUAUUAUAUUUCCUUGUUCGUGAUAAUCGUUUAUUAUCCAUGCUAGAAUUGUAUUGAUAGGAAACUCAGAUACAUGUGUGGAUACAUAGACAACACCAUGUCCCUAGUAAGCCUCUAGUUGACUAGCUCGUUGAUCAAUAGAUGGUUACGGUUUCCUGAUCAUGGACAUUGGAUGUCAUUGAUAACGGGAUCACAUCAUUAGGAGAAUGAUGUGAUGGACAAAGACCCAAUCCUAAGCCUAGCACAAGAUCAUGUAGUUCGUAUGCUAAAGCUUUUCUAAUGUCAAGUAUCAUUUCCUUAGACCAUGAGAUUGUGCAACUCCCAGACACCGUAUGAGUGCUUUGGGUGUGCCAAACAUCACAACUUAACUGGGUGGCUAUAAAGGUACACUACAGGUAUCUCCGAAAGUGUCUGUUGGGUUGGCACGAAUCGAGACUGGGAUUUGUCACUCCGUGUGACGGAUAGGUAUCUCUGGGCCCACUCGGUAGGACGUCAUCAUAAUGUGCACAAUGUGAUCAAGGAGUUGAUCACGGGAUGAUGUGUUACGGAACGAGUAAAGAGACUUGCCGGUAACGAGAUUGAACAAGGUAUCGGGAUACCGACGAUCGAAUCUCGGGCAAGUGUCGUACCGAUAGACAAAGGGAAUUGUAUACGGGAUUGCUUAAGUCCUUGACAUCGUGGUUCAUCUGAUGAGAUCAUCGUGGAACAUGGGUAUCCAGAUCCUGCUGUUGGUUAUUGACCAGAGAGUCAUCUCGGUCAUGUCUGCAUGUCUCCCGAACCCGUAGGGUCUACACACUUAAGGUUCGGUGACGCUAGGGUUAUAGAGAUAUUAGUAUGCGGUAACCUGAAAGUUGUUCGGAGUCCCGGAUGAGAUCUCGGACGUCACGAGGAGUUCCGGAAUGGUCCAGAGGUAAAGAAUUAUAUAUAGGAAGUGCCAUUUCGGCCAUCGGGACAAGUUUCGGGGUCACCGGUAUUGUACCGGGACCACCGGAAGGGUCCCGGGGGUCCACCGGGUGGGGCCACCUGCCCCGGGGGGCCACAUGGGCUGUAGGGGGUGUGCCUUGGCCUAUAUGGGCCAAGGGCACCAGCCCCAAGAGGCCCAUGCGCCAAGAGAAGAGGGAAAGGAAGAGUCCUAAAGGGGGAAGGCACCUCUGAGGUGCCUUGGGGAGGAGGGACUCCUCCCUGGCCGCACCCUUCCUUGGAGGAAGGGCCAAGGCUGCGCCCCCUCUCCCUUGGCCCUAUAUAUAGUGGGGGGAAGGGAGGGCAACCACACCUAAGCCCUGGCGCCUCCCUCUCCCUCCCAUGACACAUCUCCCUCCUCCCGCAGCGCUUGGCGAAGCCCUGUUGGAAUCCCGCUACUUCCACCACCACGCCGUCGUGCUGCUGGAUCUCCAUCAACCUCUCCUCCCCCUUGCUAGAUCAAGAAGGAGGAGACGUUGCUGCUCCGUACGUGUAUUGAACGCGGAGGUGCCGUCCGUUCGGCGCUAGGAUCAUCGGUGAUUUGGACAACGACGAGUACGACUCCAUCAACCCCGUUCUCUUGAACGCUUCCGCGCGCGAUCUACAAGGGUAUGUAGAUCCACUCCUCCCUCAUUUCUAGAUGACUCCAUAGAUUGAUCUUGGUGACACGUAGGAAAAUUUUGAAUUUAUGCUACGUUCCCCAACAGUGGCAUCAUGAGCUAGGUCUAUGCGUAGUUUCUAUGCACGAGUAGAACACAAAGUUGUUGUGGGCAUUGAUUUUGUUCAAUAUGCUUGCCGUUACUAGUCCAAUCUUGAUUCAGCGGCAUUGUGGGAUGAAGCGGCCCGGACCAACCUUACACGUACGCUUACGUGAGACCGGUUCCACCGACUAACAUGCACUAGUUGCAUAAGGUGGCUGGCGGGUGUCUGUCUCUCCCACUUUAGUCGGAUCGGAUUCGAUGAAAAGGGUCCUUAUGAAGGGUAAAUAGCAAUUGGCAUAUCACGUUGUGGUUUUUGCGUAGGUAAGAAACGUUCUUGCUAGAAACCCAUAAGCAGCCACGUAAAACAUGCAAACAACAAUUAGAGGACGUCUAACUUGUUUUUGCAGGGUAUGCUAUGUGAUGUGAUAUGGCCGAAAGGAUGUGAUGAAUGAUAUAUGUGAUGUAUGAGAUUGAUCAUGUUCUUGUAAUAGGAAUCACGACUUGCAUGUCGAUGAGUAUGACAACCGGCAGGAGCCAUAGGAGUUGUCUUAAUUUAUUUAUGACCUGCGUGUCAACAUAAACGUCAUGUAAUUACUUUACUUUAUUGCUAACCGUUAGCUGUAGUAGUAGAAGUAAUAAGUUGGCGAGACAACUUCGUGGAGACACAAUGAUGGAGAUCAUGAUGAUGGAGAUCAUGGUGUCAUGCCGGUGACGAUGAUGAUCAUGGAGCCCCAAGAUGGAGAUCAAAGGAGCUAUAUGAUAUUGGCCAUAUCAUGUCACUAUUAUUUGAUUGCAUGUGAUGUUUAUCAUGUUUAUGCAUCUUGUUUACUUAGAAUAACAGUAGUAAAUAAGAUGAUCCCUCAUUAAAAUUUCAAGAAAGUGUUCCCCCUAACUGUGCACCGUUGCGACAGUUCGUUGUUUCGAAGCACCACGUGAUGAUCGGGUGUGAUAGAUUCUAACGUUCACAUACAACGGGUGUAAGACAGAUUUACACACGCGAAACACUUAGGUUGACUUCACGAGCCUAGCAUGUGUACAGACAUGGCCUCGAAACACAGAAGACCGAAAGGUCGAGCAUGAGUCGUAUGGUAGAUACGAUCAACAUGAAGAUGUUCACCGAUGUUGACUAGUCCGUCUCACAUGAUGAUCGGACACGGCCUAGUUGACUCGGAUCAUGUAAUCACUUAGAUGACUAGAGGGAUGUCUAUCUGAGUGGGAGUUCACAAGAUGAACUUAAUUAUCCUAAACAUAGUCAAAAGGUCUUCGCAAAUUAUGUCGUAGCUCGCGCUUCAGUUCUACUGUUUAGAUAUGUUCCUAGAGAAAAUUUAGUUGAAAGUUGAUAGUAGUAAUUAUGUGGACUAGGUCCGUAAACUGAGGAUUGUCCUCAUUGCUUCAUAGAAGGCUUAUGUCCUUAAUGAACCGCUCAGUGUGCUGAACCUCGAACGUCGUCAAUGGAUGUUGCGAACAUCUGACAUACACAUUUUGAUAACUACGUGAUAGUUCAGUUAAAUAGCUUAGAGUUGAAGCACUGAAGACGUUUUGAAACAUCACGAAACAUAUGAGAUGUUUCGAGGGCUGAAAUUGGGAUUUCAGGCUCAUGCCCACGUCAAGAGGUAUAAGACCUCCGACGAUUUUCUUAGCCUGUAAACUAAGGGAGAAAAGCUCAAUUGUUGAACUUGUGCUCAGAUUGUCUGAGUACAACAAUCGCUUGAAUCGAGUGGGAGUUGAUCUUCCAGAUGAAAUAGUGAUGGUUCUCCGAAGUCAUUACCACCAAGCUGCUAGAGCUUCGUGAUGAACUAUAAUAUAUCAGGGACAUAUAUGAUGAUCCUUGAGAUAUUCACGAUGUUUGACACCACAAAAGUAGAAAUCAAGAAGGAGCAUCAAUUGUUGAUGGUUGGUGAAACCACUAGUUUCAAGAAGGGCAAGGGAACGAAGGGAUACUUCAUGAAACAGCAAUUCAGCUGCUGCUCUAGUGAAGAAACCCAAGGUUGAACCCAAACCCGAGACUAAGUGCUUCUGUAAUAAGGGGAACAGCCACUGGAGCAGAAUUACCCUAGAUACUUGGUAGAUGAGAAGGCUGGCAAGGUCGAUAGAAGUAUAUUGGAUAUACAUUGUGUUGAUGUGUACUUUACUAGUACUCCUAGUAGCACCAGGGUAUUAGAUACCGGUUCGGUUGCUAAGUGUUAGUAACUCGAAAUAAAAGCUACGGAAUAAACGGAGACUAGCUAAAGGUGAGCUGACAAUAUGUGUUGGAAGUGUUUCCAAUCUUGAUAUGAUCAAGCAUCGCACGCUCCCUCUACCAUCGAGAUUGGUGUUUGCGUUGAGCAUAGACAUGAUUAGAUUAUGUCUAUCGCAAUACGGUUAUUCAUUUAAGGAGAAUAACGGUUACUCUGUUUAUUUGAAUAAUACCUUCAAAUGGUCUUACACCUGAAAUGAAUGGUUUAUUGAAUCUCGAUCGUAGUGAUACACAUGUUCAUGCCAAAAGAUAGUAAUGAUAGUACCACCUACUUGUGGCACUGCCACUUAAGUCAUAUCAGUAUAAAACGCAUGAAGAAGCUCCAUGUUGAUGGAUCUUUGGACUCACUCGUUUUUGAAGUUUGAGACAUGCGAACCAUGUCUAUUGGUGUAUAUGCAUGAAGAAACUCCAUGCAGAUGGAUCAUUUGGACUCACUUGAUUUUGAAUCACUUGAGACAUGCAAAUCAUACCACAUGGGCAAGAUGACUGAAAGCCUCGUUUUCAGUAAAAUGGAACUAGAAAGCAACUCGUUGGAAGUAAUACAUUUUGAUGUGUGCAAUCCAAUGAGUGCUGAGGCAUGUAGUGGACAUCGUUAUGUUCUUACUUCACAGAUGAUUUGAGUAGAUGUUGAGUAUAUUUACUUGAUGAAUCACGAGUCUGAAUUAUUGAAAGGUUCAAGUAAUUUCAGGGUGAAGUUGAAAGAUCAUCGUCACAAGAGGAUAAAAGAUCUAUGAUAUGAUCAUAGAGAUGAAUAUUUGAAUUACGAGUUUGGCACAGAAUUAAGACAUUGUGGAAAUUGUUUCACAACUAAUACAGCCUGGAACACCAUAGUGUGAUGGUGUGUCCGAACAUCAUAACUGCACCCUAUUGGAUAUGAUGCAUACCAUGAUGUCUCUUAUCGAAUUACCACGAUAGUUUAUGGGUUAGGCAUUAGAGACAACCACAUUCAAUUUAAAUAGGGCACCACGUAAUUCCGAUGAGAUGACACCGUAUGAACUAUGGUUUAGAGAAACCUAAGCUGUCAUUUCUUAAAAGUUUGGGGCUGUGACGCUUAUGUGAAAAGUUUCAGGCUGAUAAGCUCAAACCCAAAGAGGAUAAAUGCAUCUUCAUAGGACACCCAAAACAGUUGGGUAUACCUCCUGUCUCAGAUUCGAAAGCAAUAAGGGAUUGUUUCUAGAAUCGGGUCCUUUCUCGAGGAAAAGUUUCUCUCGAAAGAAUUGAGUGGGAGGAUGGUGGAGACUUGAUAAGGUUAUUGAACCGUCUCUUCAGCUAGUGUGUGGCAGGGCACAUGAAGUUGUUCCUGUGGCACCUACACCAAUUGAAGUGGAAGCUUAUGAUAGUGAUCAAACUUCAGAUCAAGUCACUACCAAACCUCGUGGGAUGACAAGGAUGCGUACUACUUCAGAGUGGUACGUAAUCCUGUCUUGGAAGUCAUGUUGCUAGACAACAAUGAACCUACGAGCUAUGGAGAAGCGGUGGUGGGCCCGGAUUCCGAUAAAUGGCUCGAGGCCAUAAAAUCCGAGAAAGGAUCCAUGUAUGAAAACAAAGUGUAGACUUUGGAAGAACUACUUGUUGGUCGUAAGGCUGUUAGGUACAUAUGGAUUUUAAAAGGAAGACGGACAAUGAUGGUAAAUCUCACCAUUAAGAAAGCUUGACUUGUCGUUAAGAUGUUUUCCGACAAGUUCAAAGAGUUGACUACGAUGAGACUUUCUCACUCGUAGCGAUGCUAAGAGUCUAUUGGAAUUAUAUUAGCGAUUACUACAUUAUUUAUGAAAUCUUGCAGAUAGGAUGUCAAAACAUUGUUUCCUCGACGUUUUCUUGAGGAAAGGUUGUAUGUGAUACAACCGGAAGGUUUUGUCAAUCCUGAAAGAUGCUGAUAAGUAUGCAAAGCUCCAGCAAUCCUUCUAGGGACUGGAGUAAGCAUCUCGGAGUUGGAAUGUACGCUUUGAUGAUGAUCAAAGAUUUUGGGUUUAUACAAAGUUUAUGAGAAACUUGUAUUUCCAAAGAAGUGAGUGGGAGCACUAUAGAAUUUCUGAUGAAUAUAUGUUGUUGACAUAUUGUUGAUCAGAAAUGACGUAGAAUUUCUGGAAAGCAUAUAGGGUUAUUUGGAAAGUGUUUUUCAAUGGAAAGCCUGGAUUAAGCUACUUGAACAUUGAGCAUCAAUAUCUAUAAGGAUAGAUCAAAACGCUUAAUGGUACUUUCAAAUGAGCACAUACCUUGACAUGAUCUUGAAGGUGUUCAAGAUGGAUCAGUCAAAGAAGGAGUUCUUGCCUGAGUUCUAAGGUAUGAAGUUAAGACUUAAAGCUCGACCACGGCAGAAUAGAGAGAAAGGACGAAGGUCGUCCCCUAUGCUUAAGACAUAGGCUCUACAGUAUGCUAUGCUGUGUACCGCACCUGAAAUGUGCCUUACCAUGAGUCAGUCAAGGGGUACAAAUGUGAUCUAAGAAUGGAUCACAGGACAGCGGUCAAAGUUAUCCUUAGUAACUAGUGGACUAAGGAAUUUUCUCGAUUAUGGAGGUGGUAAAAGAGUUCGUCGUAAAGGUUACGCCGAUGCAAACUUUGACACUAAUCCAGAUUAUUCUGAGUAGUAAAAUGGAUUCGUAUAGUAGAACCGUUAUUUGGAAUAGCUCCAAAUGUAGCGUAGUAGUUGCAUCUACAAGAUGACAUAAGAAAUUUGCGAAGUACAUACGGAUCUGAAAGAUUCAGACCCGUUGACUAUAACAUCUCUCACAAGCAUAACAUGUUCAAACCCAGAACUCAUCGAGUGUUAAUCACAUGGUAAUGUGAUCUAGAUUAUUGACUCUAGUAAACUCUUUGGGUGUUAGUCACAUGGGGAUGUGACCUUGAGUGUUAAUCACAUAUCGACGUGAACUGGAUUAUUGACUCUAGUGCAAGUGGGAGACUGUUGGAUAUAUGCCCUAGAGGCAAUAAUAAAUUGAUUAUUAUUAUAUUUCCUUGUUCGUGAUAAUCGUUUAUUAUCCAUGCUAGAAUUGUAUUGAUAGGAAACUCAGAUACAUGUGUGGAUACAUAGACAACACCAUGUCCCUAGUAAGCCUCUAGUUGACUAGCUCGUUGAUCAAUAGAUGGUUACGGUUUCCUGACCAUGGACAUUGGAUGUCAUUGAUAACGGGAUCACAUCAUUAGGAGAAUGAUGUGAUGGACAAAGACCCAAUCCUAAGCCUAGCACAAGAUCAUGUAGUUUGUAUGCUAAAGCUUUUCUAAUGUCAAGUAUCAUUUCCUUAGACCAUGAGAUUGUGCAACUCCCGGAUACCGUAGGAGUGCCUUGGGUGUGCCAAACGUCACAACGUAACUGGGUGGCUAUAAAGGUACACUACAGGUAUCUCCGAAAGUGUCUGUUGGGUUGGCACGAAUCGAGACUGGGAUUUGUCACUCCGUGUGACGGAGAGGUAUCUCUGGGCCCACUCGGUAGGACGUCAUCAUAAUGUGCACAAUGUGAUCAAGGAGUUGAUCACGGGAUGAUGUGUUACGGAACGAGUAAAGAGACUUGCCGGUAACGAGAUUGAACAAGGUAUCGGGAUACCGACGAUCGAAUCUCGGGCAAGUGUCGUACCGAUAGACAAAGGGAAUUGUAUACGGGAUUGAUUAAGUCCUUGACAUCGUGGUUCAUCCGAUGAGAUCAUCGUGGAACAUGUGGGAGCCAACAUGGGUAUCCAGAUCCCGCUGUUGGUUAUUGACCAGAGAGUCAUCUCGGUCAUGUCUGCAUGUCUCCCGAACCCGUAGGGUCUACACACUUAAGGUUCGGUGACGCUAGGGUUAUAGAGAUUUUAGUGUGCGGUAACCCGAAAGUUGUUCGGAGUCCCGGAUGAGAUCCCGGAUGUCACGAGGAGUUCUGGAAUGGUCCGGAGGUAAAGAAUUAUAUAUAGGAAGUGCUAUUUCGGCCAUCGGGACAAGUUUCAGGGUCACCGGUAUUGUACCGGGACCACCGGAAGGGUCCCGGGGGUCCACCGGGUGGGGCCACCUGCCCCGGGGGCCACAUGGGCUGUAGGGGGUGCGCCUUGGCCUAUAUGGGCCAAGGGCACCAGCCCCAAGAGGCCCAUGCGCCAAGAGAAGAGGGAAAGGAAGAGUCCUAAAGGGGGAAGGCACCUCCGAGGUGCCUUGGGGAGGAGGGACUCCUCCCUGGCCGCACCCUUCCUUGGAGGAAGGGCCAAGGCUGCGCGCCCCCUCUCCCUUGGCCCUAUAUAUAGUGGGGGGAAGGGAGGGCAACCACACCUAAGCCCUGGCGCCUCCCUCUCCCUCCCAUGACACAUCUCCCUCCUCCCGCAGCGCUUGGCGAAGCCCUGUUGGAAUCCCGCUACUUCCACCACCACGCCGUCGUGCUGCUGGAUCUCCAUCAACCUCUCCUCCUCCUUGCUGGAUCAAUAAGGAGGAGACGUUGCUGCUCCGUACGUGUGUUGAACGCGGAGGUGUCGUCCGUUCGGCGCUAGGAUCAUCGAUGAUUUGGAUCACGACGAGUACGACUCCAUCAACCCCGUUCUCUUCAACGCUACCGCGCGCGAUCUACAAGGGUAUGUAGAUCCACUCCUCCCUCGUUGCUAGAUGAUUCCAUAGAUUGAUCUUGGUGACACGUAGGAAAAUUUUGAAUUUAUGCUACGUUCCCCAAUAGUGGCAUCAUGAGCUAGGUCUAUGCGUAGUUUCUAUGCACGAGUAGAACACAAAGUAGUUGUGUGCGUUGAUUUUGUUCAAUAUGCUUGCCGUUACUAGUCCAAUCUUGAUUCGGCGGCAUUGUGGGAUGAAGCGGCCCGGACCAACCUUACACGUACGCUUACAUGAGACCGGUUCCACCGACUAACAUGCACUAGUUGCAUAAGGUGGCUGGCGGGUGUCUGUCUCUCCCACUUUAGUCGGAUCGGAUUCGAUGACAAGGGUCCUUAUGAAGGGUAAAUAGCAAUUGGCAUAUCACGUUGUGGUUUUUGCGUAGGUAAGAAACGUUCUUGCUAGAAACCCAUAAGCAGCCACGUAAAACAUGCAAACAACAAUUAGAGGACGUCUAACUUGUUUUUGCAGGGUAUGCUAUGUGAUGUGAUAUGGCCGAAAGGAUGUGAUGAAUGAUAUAUGUGAUGUAUGAGAUUGAUCAAGUUCUUGUAAUAGGAAUCACGACUUGCAUGUCGAUGAGUAUGACAACCGGCAGGAGCCAUAGGAGUUGUCUUAAUUUAUUUAUGACCUGCGUGUCAACAUAAACGUCAUGUAAUUACUUUACUUUAUUGCUAACCGUUAGCUGUAGUAGUAGAAGUAAUAAGUUGGCGAGACAACUUCAUGGAGACACAAUGAUGGAGAUCAUGAUGAUGGAGAUCAUGGUGUCAAUGCCGGUGACGAUGAUGAUCAUGGAGCCCCAAGAUGGAGAUCAAAGGAGCUAUAUGAUAUUGGCCAUAUCAUGUCACUAUUAUUUGAUUGCAUGUGAUGUUUAUCAUGUUUAUGCAUCUUGUUUACUUAGAACGACGGUAGUAAAUAAGAUGAUCCCUCAUUAAAAUUUCAAGAAAGUGUUCCCCCUAACUGUGCACCGUUGCGACAGUUCGUUGUUUCGAAGCACCACGUGAUGAUCGGGUGUGAUAGAUUCUAACGUUCACAUACAACGGGUGUAAGACAGAUUUACACACGCGAAACACUUAGGUUGACUUGACGAGCCUAGCAUGUGUACAGACAUGGCCUCGGAACACAGAAGACCGAAAGGUCGAGCAUGAGUCGUAUGGUAGAUACGAUCAACAUGAAGAUGUUCACCGAUGUUGACUAGUCCGUCUCACGUGAUGAUCGAACACGGCCUAGUUGACUCGGAUCAUGUAAUCACUUAGAUGACUAGGGGGAUGUCUAUCUGAGUGGGAGUUCACAAGAUGAACUUAAUUAUCCUAAACAUAGUCAAAAGGUCUUCGCAAAUUAUGUCGUAGCUCGCGCUUCAGUUCUACUGUUUAGAUAUGUUCCUAGAGAAAAUUUAGUUGAAAGUUGAUAGUAGUAAUUAUGCGGACUAGGUCCGUAAACUGAGGAUUGUCCUCAUUGCUUCAUAGAAGGCUUAUGUCCUUAAUGCACCGCUCAGUGUGCUGAACCUCGAACGUCGUCAAUGGAUGUUGCGAACAUCUGACAUACACAUUUUGAUAACUACGUGAUAGUUCAGUUAAACGGCUUAGAGUUGAAGCACCAAAGACGUUUUGAAACAUCGCGAAAUAUAUGAGAUGUUUCGAGGGCUGAAAUUGGGAUUUCAGGCUCGUGCCCACGUCAAGAGGUAUAAGACCUCCGACGAUUUUCUUAGCCUGCAAACUAAGGGAGAAAAGCUCAAUUGUUGAACUUGUGCUCAUAUUGUUUGAGUACAACAAUCGCUUGAAUCGAGUGGGAGUUGAUCUUCCAGAUGAAAUAGUGAUGGUUCUCCGAAGUCAUUACCACCAAGCUGCUAGAGCUUCGUGAUGAACUAUAAUAUAUCAGGGACAUAUAUGAUGAUCCUUGAGAUAUUCGCGAUGUUUGACACCACAAAAGUAGAAAUCAAGAAGGAGCAUCAAUUGUUGAUGGUUGGUAAAACCACUAGUUUCAAGAAGGGCAAGGGCACGAAGGGAUACUUCAUGAAACGGCAAUUCAGCUGCUGCUCUAGUGAAGAAACCCAAGGUUGAACCCAAACCCGAGACUAAGUGCUUCUGUAAUAAGGGGAACCCAAACCCCGUUCUCUUGAACGCUUCCGCGCGCGAUCUACAAGGGUAUGUAGAUCCACUCCUCCCUCGUUGCUAGAUGACUCCAUAGAUUGAUCUUGGUGACACGUAGGAAAAUUUUGAAUUUAUGCUACGUUCCCCAACAGUCAACGCCCGCCGCCCGCCAACUGUUUGUUCCUCCGCGCAGCUGCUGCGUAUGUUCACCAUGUAUCGGCGCGACAACCAAGACGCCGACUUCAAGCACCUCCACGUCUACAAGCGCAUUGACAAGUGCGAGAAGUGGGCGGAAGUCCGACGUACCCUCGACAAGGCCAAGGAGACAUACAAGCCGGACGCGAUGACUCCGGGCGCGUCAAAGGGGCGGCCGGACGGCCACAAAUUGGCAAAGAAGGGGAAAAACGCCGACGCGGCAACCGCGCGAGUGCAGGAGUCCAUCGAGCAUUGACUCGUCGACGCCCAGGCCCGGGCCGUCCUACGUGAAGAGAAGACCGAGGCGCGGUGGUCGUCGCUGAUGAAGAACAGCGCCAUCAAGCUCGACCUGCUCCGGACGAACGUCGCCGCGAAGAAGAGGAACACCGACAUGGCUUUUCUGAUGGUCAGGGCGGACAUGCUCCUGAGCAACGACGAGCAGCUCAGGGCGUGGUACAUGGCGGAGCGCGGCCUCAUCCUGAACCAGAUGCAGACGGCAACGCCGACGACGCCGACGACGCAAGCUCCCGCGCCCACGACCACACGGACGCCAAGCCCGAACGACGCCUCUACAUCGCCGCCCAGCAGUGCCGAAGCCGCGCCGACACAGCCCAGCACCGAAGCAGCUCCGACACCGCCGAGCCCGCGCACGCCGACUCCGCCAACGCCUGGAGCCGACCCCGCCGAGUGAAUCAUUGCGCACGCGAACUUGCGGCGUGCGACGCUCUGUUUUCUGUAACGCCAGACUACGUCCGAUCGCCGGAUUUGUGGCGUCUUUUGAGAGCGGGAACGACCAAGUUUAAAUUUUCCGCAUCCUGAGGCCGGCGCUUGGGGGCGUGACUGGGAGCUAGGUCGCCCCUAGGCCGCUCUAUUUAGAUGCCUGGGGGGCCGAACGGCUGGAGAUGCCCUAAGUUGUCCCAUGGUGAAGUGCAUGGUGGCGGCCUGCAGGCGGCCGUGGUCGGUAAGCUAACCGGGUUGCGAGAAAAGGCCAACCUGUUUAUCAGAGGGCUCUGGGUUUUCUUCUGGACUAGUAUCACUUAGACUUCUGGCCUAGGUAAUAGGACGUGCAGUGGAGGCUGAACUACACAACAGAUCCUGAGAGCCAAAAAUGUUUUAAUCAAGAAAAUCGGACGGCCAAAAAUGACAAGAGCAUGAGAAGGCUGAGAAAGAGCUCAAAUUUAUUGUCCUAAAAUAAAUAUGAGAAUAGGACCAGGGGUGAAGCCCUUUUUGUUAAAAAAGAACAGUAAUAUCAAAAAAUGUGGCAUUAAUAUUUUUCCAUGGUUGUUAAAGAAAUUUAUCAUCCUCGCAACAACAUUAUUUUGCUAUAAAAAAUAGGGUCCUAAUAACGUCCACACGUGUGGCAUACUAAGCAUCCGCCCACACAUCGGGUGUGGCGUGAGCAGGAGGCAGCUCACACGGACUGUGUGUGGGCGGACAUUAGAAUUGCCCGCGGGUACUACUCAUUCCCACCCCACGCAUGUGGCACGAAGCAAAUCUUCCCACACGUUCUGGCGCAGCUACAUUAGGUACCCGCGAGAUGACAAUUUAGUUGCCAUCUGGGAUGGCAGAUGUAGUUAUCCGGAAUGACAAAUGUAGUUGUAAAAGCAUGCAACUCUCUUUAUUUUGGUUAAAUAUAGUUGCCAUGUCUAAUUUAUGGUAGUUGCCGCGUGUAAUCAAACCAUAAUUGUUAUAUGUGAUUAACUACUUGCCACAUAUGGUCAAACAAUAAUUGCCACGUGUGUUUAUCUAGUUUCCACGUGUGGUCCAACCAUAGUUGCCAUCUAUGGUUAAUCACAAUUCUCAUGUGUGCAGUUGUCGUCUAGCAACGAAUCAUAGUUGCCACGUACACGCAGCUGCAGUUACCAUCCAACAACGUACGAGUGUCGUGUGAGUGAAAAGCAGUUCAUCCACACAUGCGUGAACUAGGUGGUGGUUGUAUGGGCAGAAACUAGUUCACCCACACAGUGCAGCUGAUAAACUGCGUGCUGCGGGGUGUAUGGACGAACUCUCCAAUGUCCACACAAGAUAAUGCUUACGGUGGCACUCAGAUUCUAACAUAUUUCUUUAGGAUUCGUGCAAAAUAGAAACAACACGGAUCAAGGUGUGUGGGCGAUGUGCACACAUGUCACACAUAUGGACGUUAUCAUUUGAAAAAAAAUAGAUUUGCCAUGUCAAAAAAAAAUAUCUAAACUUCGACUUGUAUAUAGUGCAAUAGAAGAACCGAAUCCACGGUCAGAGCAAGCGAUGAAAAAAUGAAGGCCUUCUUUGAUUUGCAGGAAAAGGGAUUUCAUAGGAUAGGAUUUUUGUAGGAACAGUUUUUUGGUGCCCUUUGGUUUGUACAGAAAUAGAAUCCUAUUUCUAUUUCUAUGAAUAAAUUCUUUCUAUCUAUCAUAUUUCAUAGGAAAAUAAACAUUACUGACUCAAUGAAAAAAAUCGUAUAAUAUGAAUCAAAGAACAUCUCUUUCCUAUUUGCUGCUCAAUAGAUUUUCCUACCCUAUAUCUCUCUCUUUCCUGCUCAUAGGAUUUUCCUACCCUAUGUAUCUCUCCGUCGUAUCGUCUCGUCUCGUAUUCUCCGACAGUCCGACUCGAAUCCAUGAGCGGGGCCGGCGCGGCGCUAGCCUCGUCGGCAUUGGGCCUCUGCGGGGAGGACGGGAGGGCGGAGUGGCUGCGCUUCUACGAUCAGGUCGAGGCGCAGGUGGAGGCGCUGGCCGCCGACCGCGCGCAUCUAGAGGCGACAAGGGGCGAGGGGGAGGAGGCGCCCGCCGCUUGUAAGACACCGCCCAUUGUCUCGUACCCGUCCUCCACAUUCAGGGUUAAUUUUGGUCCCCGUAAUGACAAAUUUAGGGUUGCGUUCUUGUGGCUCUGCUGGAUUGAUAAGCGAGACACGCGCUGCAAUCGAGUCAGUUAGCCAUACCGUCCUGCGUCCCGAGGUUCUCUGAAGAUUUGGCAACACAUCAGUCGCAAUAAACAAAGUUGUCCCCCCACUCUUUUCCGUUGUAUUAGAAGCAUGCUCUGUCAUGCUUUGGAGAGCAUCGCAUGGAAAUGACAGCGGCGAAGAUCCGUCGCUGCACUGCAUAUAGGCUAAACAUCAGAGAGCUCUUGCUAUUCUGGCCAUCGUGAACAUGUUACUCUGUGCAGAUUUUACCUUCACUUCGCAUUUGGAUUUGUAAUUUUGCAUGGUAGAGUUCUCUACCUUCCACUUUCAGAAAGGAAUUUAUUUUUUGGUGCUGAUAUCGCUGCCUUGCGUAUUCAAUGUAGAACUCCAAGAGGGUGAUCUGGAGGAUGUCAGAGCUUGUAGAGGUCUUCUUGCCCUACCAAGCACUGAAUCUAAGGUAAUGUAGUUACCGAGAUAUCAGAUGCAUUCUCAAAAGCUUGCAGUCCAGCUUGGGCAUCAUCUCGUUGACUUUCCUAAUUCCAUUUUUGCAUCUCUGUUUGGUUCCGUUAAUGUUAAUCGAAGCCGAAGGAAGUUCAAGAUCGUCUAGAGCUUGGUGAAGACACUGGGGAUCAUGAGCACAGUGUAAAAGUGCUGAGAGCAAACCUUAGAAAACUAAAGGGAGCUUUUGAGACCCUGAUGUCCAAGAAGGAUAAGGAUAUUUAUUCAGUAAAAGUUGUUCUUUUGAACCAGUUGAAUACAAUGGAAAAGGAAAGCAUGCUCUCUGAGAACAAGAAACUAGAGGCAGCACAAGCUACUGAAGAAGCGAAGAAGCUUCAGCAGAACGUACAGGCGCUGCGCGUCGCAACUCAAAACAAGGACAAUGAGAUUGGCAGACUCCAUGCAGAAGCUCUUGUGGCUCAACAGAAGCUACAUGAAAUGGAUUCCUUGCUGAAGGAGAAAGAUGAAAGUAUUGAAAAACUCCAUACGGAAAACAUUGGAUUACAUGCUGUAAAGGAUUUUGUUUGGAGCCAGUUCCGGAUAAAGGAGCAGGAGCUGCUGGACUACGCCAUGCUUCUUAAGAACAAGGAAGUGGCAGCAGCACAAGCUACUGAAGCAGCGCAAAAGCUAGUAAAGGAGAAUCGCACGAUGGAGGCAGAAGUUGUUGAUUAUGGAAACAAGUUAUUGAUUCUAGAGGAUAAGCUAAAGGAGACGCGCUCCUUGGUGAAGGAGAAAGAUGAAGAAAUCCAAGAACUCAGGAAUCGCCAACCUGAGACCACGAGUCUGAAGCGCAAGUGCGCCUCUUCCUUGUCAAAUGUAAGUACGUCAUUUCCAAGUAUACUAUCCUUUGAAUGUUAUUUGUGUUGCGAACAUGCCUUGCCACAUAUAGUCAAUCGACAGUAUUUUGUUUACUAUGUAAAUGUGCCUGAUAAAUUUUGACAUUAAAAAAAACUAUGUUAAUAAAACAUUGAAAAAAAACUAACUUUUUUCAAAAUUCACUUUUGGUUGUUUCGCCUCGUGCUAUGUGAUGGCCAACUGACCAUGUGCUAUUUUUAUAAUAUACUAUAUAGUUGAAUACCGAAAAAGGGUCCCCCCGCUUUGUAUUACAAAGCAACUAAGAGUACUUGUUCUUUAUAGUCCAAUGAUUGUAUUCUUAUAAGUGCUACUGUAUUUUUGUGCUGAAAGUACAUGAGCAUCCAACAAAGCAUCUCACUUCCUAUGAUUUUCCUAUUCCUAUAAAAUUCCUAUCCUAUAAACCAAAGAAGGCCUAGUUGUUCUUUAUAGUCCAAUGAUUGUAUUCUUAUAAGUGCUACUGUAAUUUUGUGCUGAAAGUACAUGAGCAUCCAACGAAGCAUCAGCUGUGCUGCUGUGUAUUGUUGGAAACACAGACCGAGAAUAAAGUGAAUAUUUUAGGUUUGCUUUUUUUUACGGGCAAUGGCAGGUGCUCUGCCUUUUCAUUUAGAAGGGGGAAAAACUGUACAAGCAGACUGCAAGCAGUCGGGGAAGCAAAGACAUAGACAGAAGAGAUAAAAGAAAAGCAAGGGACCGGGCUACCAGAACCAACAUGGUUUAUAUGAUUCUCGUAUCUGGUUCUAUAUAGAACCAUCAUAAUGCUCUUGUGGAGAGUGCUAAUGAACAGGGACGUACCCACGUUGACCCACGGGUGUACAGGACACCGGGUGCAAGAGUUUUUCUUUGUAAAUUUCAUGCAAACUAUAGUGGAGGACACCCCACUCUUAGCUGAAAAUUGUGAGUGAUUAUAUGCUGGGACACUGGAUCAUUUUCUCUCUGGGUCUGCCCCUGCUAAUGAAUAUGUUCUGUAACAGGAGACUAGUAAAAAGCGCAGGAGGAUAUCAUUGGGAUGCAUAUAGCUUCUAUUCGGCGAUGCAAGUCCGGCAGACAGUGCUUUGGACGUCGCACAGUGAGUCUCCCUUCAGUCACCAUUUCCCAUCCCAACUCCGUAUCUUUACACCGUGCAUCCCAGAUCUACAUUCUUCUUGCUAAUCUCCUCAAGUUGUAGUGAAUUUGAUUGGUUAAUCUCCUGCUAAACAAUCUUGUAGUGCCUUCUUGUCUAGAAUUGAGUAGAUCUAUGCCUUCUUGUUCCGUAUCUGCUAUCUGAGUUUUUUUUUUCUGCACAAUGAUGUAUGCCUUGUACGAUUAUAUCACCUCAAAAUGUUCUUGUACAUGUUCAGCACUUAGUAUUGCCUUGCACUAUCUUGUUUCUGGAUAAUGACUGAUCCAAGAAACUUUAUAAAUCAUUGACGUUGUAAGCUGGAAAAUAAUGUAUUAUGGUAGGAUAGUUUACAUCAUAAUUACGUUGUAGUUAAUGCUUAUAUGUUACAAUAUAUUCUAAAUCAUAAUACAGUUGUUGAUGAUACUAGUAGCAUACAAAUUCAUGAUGUGGAUAGCAUCUAGAAGUUAUUGGAUAAUACUUAGGUGGAAAAGGUCUUUUUUUACUAUCUUCAACUGUUGGGUUUGCUCACUUAACCCACCAAAGUAUUCUUGUCCAUUUACUCCAUCUAAGUAUGAAUACCUCAUCCACUACGCCUGAUUUUGACACAUAGCAUCACAUUUGAACAUUAUUAAUCACAGAAAAUCCUGACGAGUCAUCUUGUUCCUCUGUCAUUCUCUUGCACCUCUCUGAAUUAUCCACUUCUUCCUGUGCGUGGGUACUGAUACGCAUGGCACUGGCAAGGCAAAAGGCACAAAUUUGACCUCAGGUCGAAACUAUUUCACAAAUUAAACUGUUCUUGAAAGUAUUUCACCCGGCUGACCUUUAAUGUGCAGCACGGCGCUGCACUCUACUGUGCAACGCCUAACACUUAGGCGC
rnacentral:lncRNA from 1 species